rnacentral:rRNA from 1 species
AUUGAACGCUGGCGGCAUGCUUUACACAUGCAAGUCGAACGGUAACAGGCCGCAAGGUGCUGACGAGUGGCGAACGGGUGAGUAAUGCAUCGGAACGUGCCCAGUCGUGGGGGAUAACUACUCGAAAGAGUAGCUAAUACCGCAUACGAUCUAUGGAUGAAAGCGGGGGACCGUAAGGCCUCGCGCGAUUGGAGCGGCCGAUGUCAGAUUAGGUAGUUGGUGGGGUAAAGGCUCACCAAGCCAACGAUCUGUAGGUGGUCUGAGAGGACGACGAGCCACACUGGGACUGAGACACGGCCCAGACUCCUACGGGAGGCAGCAGUGGGGAAUUUUGGACAAUGGGCGCAAGCCUGAUCCAGCAAUGCCGCGUGCAGGAAGAAGGCCUUCGGGUUGUAAACUGCUUUUGUACGGAACGAAACGGCUCUGGUUAAUACCCGGGGCUAAUGACGGUACCGUAAGAAUAAGCACCGGCUAACUACGUG